rnacentral:rRNA from 1 species
CAUGGCUCAGGAUGAACGCUGGCGGCGUGCCUAAUACAUGCAAGUAGAACGCUGAAGGUUGGUGCUUGCACCUAGCGGAUGAGUUGCGAACGGGUGAGUAACGCGUAGGUAACCUGCCUCGUAGCGGGGGAUAACUAUUGGAAACGAUAGCUAAUACCGCAUAAAAGUAGACAUUGCAUGAUAUUUACUUAAAAGGUGCAACUGCAUCACUAACAGAUGGACCUGCGUUGUAUUAGCUAGUUGGUGAGGUAACGGCUCACCAAGGCGACGAUACAUAGCCGACCUGAGAGGGUGAUCGGCCACACUGGGACUGAGACACGGCCCAGACUCCUACGG